GAGCCCUAAUGCAUAUAGAUCAAAAUAGGCCAUUUUGAGUGAUAGAUAUUAUAGUUGAAAUCUUAGGUAUGUGCAGCAUAGGACUGUGCCAAAAAUAGGAGGAUGAGUUUGCAGAUCUGAUCUGACUCAUUCAUUAGAGUGGUAGAAAUUAGAAAAUAGAGAAGAAAGAGUGAAUCAACAUUUGUGGAUGUUUUGCUAUGAACAAUUAAUAUACGUGGUAGCUUCUGCCAGUGCCAUUAUAUGCUAUUGAAUAUUUAGAAGAGGGGACACACAGUGGAGUAGAGAUAUUGACAGAAGAGAGUGAGCACAUGCUGCAGUGAUUGUAUGAUAGCAUACAAUUCUUGGUGCGUGCUCACUUCUCUUUCUGUCAU
rnacentral:lncRNA from 1 species